rnacentral:lncRNA from 1 species
GGAAAUUGAGACUAGUAAGUAGUGUGUGGGUCACAGAACAGUACUAGAAGCCUUCAAGAACAGCCAUGAACCUGCGUACUGCGGGAUUAUUGUGCUGGAAGACAAGAGGACCGUGGGGGUCGUUCUAUUCUGAUCAUGUCCCACUACCUCUAGGAAGGUGGAACUCCUGGCUCGGGAUCUGCUUUAGGACGAUGACACUUCGAGGAAGGGAAGAAAGGUGUUUGGAGACCAUCAGGGUGGGCAUCCUUUCUAAUAAGGUCUCUGAAGAAAGAGGAUAUAGGUAGCCUCUGUCUCAUUACUGCUAUACAGGGGAUAGAUGGCAGGCUACUCUGGAGCAUGCUUUUGGGAUUUGUGGAUAUAUCAAGGGUGCAUUUGUUUAAAAGGUUAAAGAGACGAAUGCUCAGGUUACUUCGAAAAGAUCUGGCUUGAAUUGUAUUAACUUUGGAGUUUGCCCAGGAGGGUGCCCGCCUCACUUAAGCAGUGAGCAUCUUUAGAGAUACUGGUCCUUGAGUGCACACGGCUGCCAGCAGCCUGGAGUCUGAACAUCCUUUCCACCAGCUGGAAGAGAAUCUGGCAGGAUUUGAACAUACGGGGAGAGGAGACAGCAUAGUCUGGACCGCAUGGCUUCUGAUCAACCCAGAUGUAUGUGCAUCACUCUCUGUGCCUCGGAUUCUGUAAUGGAGAGAAUGACUUACUGAUGGUGUAGGGACGCUGAGGAUGCGUGGAGGAGCUGUGGACCAUGGGUGAAUUACUAGCUUGCAAAGCCUCACUGGAAGACAUAUUCUCUUCUGGCCCGAAGCUCAGGCAGGAUCAUCUUUGACCAGAACUACUGAGGACAGGACCCAGAAUCUGCCAUCAGCCACCACCUCAUCCCCAUUUUGUCUGGAGCUCAGUGUGUGUGUGUGUGUGUGUGUGUGUGCCUACCAAAUACACAUGUGUUGUUCUGACCUCCAGUCAAGGCUGGCAGGGAUGCCCUAUAGAAAUCUGGCUCUACACAGCAUGGAUCAACAUGAGACCCUAACUAGCGGCUCCCAGUAGCCAUCGGGGAAGCCAUAUAACUUUCCAGGGUGCUGUUCGAAGACUUGACAUUAACCAACUAAUGUGAUCUCAUAGCAGUCUCAUGGGUCUGGAAUCCACUCUGCAAAAGAGAAGUCCCAGAAUGCCAAGUUACACAUCCAAGAAGUGGAGUCUGGCUCAGGAACACGUCUACCUAUGCCCUAUUCUCUAUAGCUUUGCUCUUCUCUCCAUCCAAAAUGCUCUCACACCUUGGCCCUCUGAGGGCCCUUCUCUAGCUCUGGUCUUUGUUAUUGAAGUACAGGGGUCAUCGGAAUGGGGUGAUGGCACCAGGCCAUCAAGGGAACAUCUCUGACUAAAAGGAAGGGUCCACCCAGGGUGGGCUUCUCCAAUCACAGCAGCAGUGGGUGUCAUCUCAGCC